rnacentral:rRNA from 1 species
GUCCAGACUCCUACGGGAGGCAGCAGUGGGGAAUAUUGCACAAUGGGGGAAACCCUGAUGCAGCAACGCCGCGUGAGUGAAGAAGUAUUUCGGUAUGUAAAGCUCUAUCAGCAGGGAAGAAGAAGGACGGUACCUGACUAAGAAGCCCCGGCUAACUACGUGCCAGCAGCCGCGGUAAUACGUAGGGGGCAAGCGUUAUCCGGAUUUACUGGGUGUAAAGGGAGCGUAGACGGCAGCACAAGUCUGGAGUGAAAAGGCGGGGGCUAAACCCGGGAAUUCUUUGGAAACUGUGCAGCUAGAGUGCAGGAGAGGUAAGUGGAAUUCCUAGUGUAGCGGUGAAAUGCGUAGAUAUUAGGAGGAACACCAGUCGCGAAGGCGGCUUACUGGACUGUAACUGACGUUGAGGCUCGAAAGCGUGGGGAGCAAACAGGAUUAGAUACCCUCGUAAA